rnacentral:lncRNA from 1 species
UAGCCAAAUGAUCGUAUCACCAUGUGGUUUUUUUGAAAGUAGCGAAGAAUAUGAAUUUAGUUAUAAAUUUGAUGAUGCUUAGUGGGAGAAAAUCCUUCAAAUAUUGAAGGAGUUCUUAUCCAUCUCUGAAGAUGUAUCUUCAAUGGGGCAACAAUCCUUUGAGAAAAAAAAAAAAAGGUGCAAAAGAGUCGUACUUGGGUUGAGGAGCUCAAACUGACAAA